rnacentral:rRNA from 1 species
AACGAACGCUGGCGGCAGGCUUAACACAUGCAAGUCGAACGCAUCCUUCGGGGUGAGUGGCAGACGGGUGAGUAACGCGUGGGAACGUGCCCUUCAGUUCGGGAUAACCCAGGGAAACUUGGGCUAAUACCGGAUACGUGCGAGAGCAGAAAGAUUUAUCGCUGAAGGAUCGGCCCGCGUCUGAUUAGAUAGUUGGUGGGGUAAUGGCCCACCAAGGCGACGAUCAGUAGCUGGUCUGAGAGGAUGAUCAGCCACAUUGGGACUGAGACACGGCCCAAACUCCUACGGGAGGCAGCAGUGGGGAAUAUUGGACAAUGGGCGCAAGCCUGAUCCAGCCAAGCCGCGUGAGUGAUGAAGGCCUUAGGGUUGUAAAGCUCUUUCGUCCGGGACGAUAAUGACGGUACCGGAAGAAGAAGCCCCGGCUAACUUCGUGCCAGCAGCCGCCGUAA